GCAGUUACGUGUUCAAGAGGCUCUCGGGAUCACGAAGACGGGACCUCCAUCGCGAAGCUUAGUCGCUGCAAUUUCUAGUAUGCUGACGCGUGUGGCAGUCCCGAGUUGGGAUUGGCCAACAGCAUAGUUUUCGCGUUUGGCGACAGCGUUCGCGCUUCCCCGUU
rnacentral:snRNA from 14 species